UACAUGGGGUGCAAACGUUGCUCGUAAUUAUUGGGCGUAAAGCGCACGUAGGUGGUCUGUUAUGUCAGAUGUGAAAGCCCUCGGCUUAACUGAGGAAGUGCACCUGAAACUGGCAGGCUUGAGUACGAAAGAGGGUCGCGGAAUUCCCGGUGUAGAGGUGAAAUUCGUAGAUAUCGGGAGGAACACCGGUGGCGAAGGCGGCGACCUGGUUCGAUACUGACACUGAGGUGCGAAAGCGUGGGGAGCAAACAGG
rnacentral:rRNA from 1 species